AGUUCGGAAUUUGUUAAAAUUAGAAAUUUUGAAGAUUUUCAUUUUUUUGGGGGAGUUGUCGUAUUUUGGGAAAAUAAUUUGGUAAAAAAAGGUAGCGUUUGUUUGUAUUUUGAGUUAUAGUUUGGGGGAGACAUUUUGCACCAUAGGUUGUACGGGUCAAGUUAUGUAUGAAAGUAUUAGAAGAAAGAAAGAAGAAUAUUAUUAUCCAUUUGUGCAUUAUGUAUUUACCCCGAUUUAUCUUUCGAAAACCAAAAUUGAUGGUAAUGACUAAUGCGAGUUUUUUUCUGACAGGCAAAAAAUUAUCUACAAGACUGCAUCUGGUGUUUGUUUGGUUCCUUUUUUUGCUGCUGUCAAAAUAAACAAGUGUCUCGUUGACGAAAGAGGCAAAACGAUCUAUAAGACUGCAUGCGCUGGUGUUUGUUUGGUUCCAUUGACAUUGAGCUUUGGUUAAUCUUGGGUGGUGUGAUUCUUUUUUUUUUCUGGUGCUGCCAAAUAAAGAAGUGUCUCGUUGAUGCAAGAGGUUCGAUAUAUUCUUUCGACUGUAUCGAAUAUGAAUAUGGCGAUUGAGUUUCGGUAAAAUGCUUCUGCAUGACCAUGGUGUUUGGAUUUUUAGUUUUUGAUGUGUGCAGACAAAUUUGAUGCUGAAAGAUUGAUUUAUUUGAGCAACAGUAAGUUUGGUGAGUAAUGUAUUUUUCGCAGAUCUUUUGUGAAAUAUAAAUGAUUUUUUUUUUCUGCUUCAA